GGCGAGGUUGUGGAGUGCUUUGUGGGUGAGGAGGAGGAUUUUGUAUUGAAUGCGAUGGGGUAUGGGGAGCCAGUGAAGGUUUUGGAGGACGGGGGUGAUGUGUUGAUGGGAGCGUGUGUGGGUGAGGAGGCGGGCGGCUGAGUUCUGGAUAAGCUGAAGUUUGUUGAGGAGAGUGGAGGUGGUGCCAUAAAAGAGACUGUUGCAGUAAUCUAGACGAGAUGAAAUGAAUGCAUGUAUAAGGGUUUCAGCUGCAGGGUAGGAGAGGGAGGGGCGGAGGCGGGCAAUGUUUUUGAGGUGGAAAUAGGCUGUUUUAGUGAUUUGCUUAAUGUGUUGGGUGAAGGAGAGGUUGCUGUCGAAGAGAAUGCCAAGGUUGCGACAGUGGGAGGAGGGGGAGAGGAUGGAGUUGUUGAUGGAGAGAUGAAAGUUUGUGACUGUGGGGGUGAGGGAGUUUGGGCCAAUGAUGAUGAGAUCUGUUUUGUCAUAAUUGAGUUUAAGAAGAUUGCUGUCCAUCCAGUGUUUGAUGUCAGAGAGGCAGUUUGAGAGGGAGCGUUGGGUCUGGGGGGUGAUGGAGUUGGAGGAGAUAUAUAAUUGAAUGUCAUCAGCAUAGCAGUGGAAGUGGAGGUUGUGUUGAUGGAGGAUGUGGCCAAGAGGGAGGAGGUAGAUGAUGAAGAGGAGGGGACCAAGCACCGAACCCUGGGGGACACCUUGGGACACGGGGGCGGUUGUGGAGGAGCAGUUGUUAAUAUGGAUGAAGUGAUUCCGGUCUGUGAGGUAAGAGUGGAUCCAGUUAAGAGCGGUGUCUGUGAUAUUGAGGAGGGAGUGUAGGCGGGACAGAAGGAUGGCAUGGUCGAUGGUGUCGAAAGCAGCGGAGAGGUCGAGGAGGAUGAGGAUGGAGAGUUGGCCAGAGUCAGCGGAGAUGAGGAGGUCAUUUGUCACUUUUAUGAGGGCAGUUUCAGUGCUGUGGUGGGUGCGGAAUCCUGAUUGGAACUGUUCAUAUAGGUUGUUACUGUUGAGGUGGGUUUUGAUUUGUGAUGCGAUGACACGUUCGAGGAUUUUUGACAGGAAAGGGAGGUUUGAGAUGGGCCGGAAGUUACUAAUGUCAUCGGGGUUGAGUCCAGGUUUUUUGAGGAUGGGGGUGACAGCAGCCAGUUUAAGUGACGGGGGAACAGUGGCGGAGUUGAGGGAGGAGUUGAUGAUCUGUGUUAUGACUGGGGAGAUGACGGGGAGGCAGUGCUUGAUGAGGGAGGAUGGGAUGGGAUCGAGGAUACAGGUGGAUGAAGACAUGGAGCAGAUGAUAUUAGUCACGUCGGUUGAGGAGACAGGUGAGAAGCAGGAGAGUGCUGAUGGGAUGAGGGGAGGAGGGGAGGAGCAGGGAAUGGAGGGUGGGGGAAGGGAGUUAUAGAUUGCAUUGAUUUUGGUUUGAAAAGAGGAGAGGAAUGUGUUGCAUUUUUCCGGGGUGAAGGUGAUGGAGGUACUGUCUAUGGGGUGGAGCAGUUUUUUGACGGUGGAGAAAAGAGCCUUUUGGUUGCUGGAGCCGGAGUUGAUGAGGUUGGAGUAAUAGGAUGAGCAGGCGGAUUUGAGGGCUGUUCUGUAUAGGUGGAGGUGGUCGGUGUAGGCUUGGAGAUGGACAGUGAGACCGGAUUUGCGAUAUAGACGUUCCAGUUGGCGUUUAUGGGAUUUCAUUUUGUGUAGUUCAGAAGUAUACCAGGGGGCAGAGUGUCUGAAUGAAACUGUUUUUGUUUUGAGAGGUGCGAGCUGGUCCAGGCAGGAGGAUAGAGUGUUGUUGUAGUAGUUGAUUAGGUCAGGAAGUUUAGCAGAUGGUGAGGGAGGGGAUGCAGUGAGGGUGGCAGAUAGGGAAGCGGAGAGGUCCUGUGGUGAGAUGAAUUUGAGGUUUCUGAAGGUAAUUUGUCGUUUUUCAUUGUGGGGCAGAGGGGGGAGGUCGACGUUGAAAGUGACAGCCAGGUGAUCUGAUAUAUAGAGGUUGGUGGUGGAGAGAUGGUGGAUGGAGAUGCCGGUGGAGCAGACGAGGUCGAGGGUGUGGCCAUGGGAGUGGGUGGGGGAGUGCACGUGCUGGGUGAGAUUGAGGGUGUCGAGGAGAUCCAGGAAAUCAGAAGCUUGUUUGCAGGUGGGGUUGUCAAUGUGAAAGUUGAAGUCUCCAAGCAGCAGGACAGAGGAUGAGAUGGUGUUUAGGUGGGUGACAAAUUCAGAGAAAUCCGAGAGGAAUGAUGGGUGGGGCUUUGGGGGACGGUAGAUAGUAACAAUGACCAGAGGGGUGGGGCCAGGGAGUUUGACAGAGAUAUUUUCAAAUGAGUGGAGGGACAGGGUGGGGGCGGGGGUGGUCUUGAGGGUUUGUUUGUAAAUAACUGCGACGCCUCCGCCUCGUCCAGUGAGGCGGGGUUGGUGCAGAUAGGAGUAACCGGGGGGGUGGCUUGGUUGAGUGGAAAGAGGUCGAGAUGGUUGUGCCAGGUUUCAGUUAGAUAGAGGAAGUCCAGGUUAUUGUCUGUUAUGAAGUCAGCUAGGAUGUGUCCUUUGUUAUUGAGGGAGCGGGUGUUUUGAAGGGCCAUCUUCAGGGGAGGGGGCUGUGGGGUGGGCAGUGAGGCAGGGGGAAGGUAGCGGAGAUUUGAUAGAUUUCUUGUCCUUCUUUUUGGAUGCAUGGGAUUUGAACGGGAGGUUCCAGUAGUUGUAAUUGUUUUAAUUGUUUGCAAUGGUUUGCAAGGAGAGUCUAUGGUUGAAGGGUGUAGUAGCUGUUUGGACCAGGAGGGGGAGCUUGAUGUGGUGGGGGCAAUGGGGAUGGUGCGCAGUACCAGUUGGGGCCUGCUGGGGGAGCCGGUGGUGAGGGUGGUGAGGGCGAGGGUUCCGGAGGGGGCCUCAGGGGGCGCUGUUUCCAGGUGGGGUAGUGGGAGAGAAUGAGAGGGAGUAUGUAAACAAUGAUAGUCAGUUGGUGUGUAUGUGGUGUUGGAUAUUAGCGGCAAGUGUCUGAUGGCCCAGUUUGUUUGGGUGAAGUCCGUCAUUAGAAAAGAAUGGGGGUCGGUUCCAGAACAGGUUAAAAUUGUCUAUGAAGUGGGUGGAGAGGGUGCUGCAGAGGGCUCGAAGCCAGGAGUUUAGGCUGAGGAGGCGGCUAAAACGAUCGAUGCUACGUGUUAGUGUUGGAAGAGGGCCACUUAUAAAAACAGUUUUGCCACUGCGCUCAAGGCUAUCUAAAAGAGUCCUGAAGUCUUUUUUUGUCUGUUCAGACUGUUGGUGAGCCGUGUCAUUUGUGCCAACGUGGACAAUGAUGCGGUGAAUAGAGGCAGGAAGUGAUUGGAGAAGACCGGGGAGUUUAGCUGUGAUGUCGGCGACAGUAGCACCGGGGAAAGAGCGAGUGAUGGCAUUAAAAUAACGAAUACCUCGUAUGAUGCUGUCACCGAUGAUCAAGGUGGUGGGGGGAAACAGCGGCGGGGGGUGCAUUGCUCCUGUGUCCGAAGCAGGGCUGGUGGUCGGGGUACGGGGACUCAGCGGUGCGGUGGAUACGGUGGAUGCCAGCGGCUGCGGGGAUGGUCUGCCACUUCGGUCCGGGGCAGCUGAAACGGGCCCGGCGGAGUUCCGUCGGACUGCGUCCCGGAGAAACCUCCUGCGGGCGGCCGAGGACGCGGGCCGGCUCUCCGAGCGGUGGUCAAGGCGGGUUCCGGGACACCGCGCGCGACCAGGGACCGACGGAGACGGGUCCCCUCCGCCAGUGCCAGGCCACACGGGAAUCCCACUGUGCGCCGGCAGGGAGGUGUUCUUAGUGCCAGCGCCCGGUGACGCCCGGGAGCUGGUCGCCAGAAGAGCGGAGGCUACCCGGUCCUCGAGCCGGCACGCCGCGAGGGCACCGGAGGACGUGGACGAAGGCCCGGGGGCUCCGCCGGGUGGCCGUGUAGGAGCCAUGGGAGCUCCGGCAGCCGCUGCAGAGGACGCCACCACGUCACCGUCGAGAAGGGACUGGUCCAUGCUGGUGUUGGCAGGCUCAGGAGGAUUCUCACGAGCCUCGAAGCGGCUUGGAGUGGAGCUUGAGG